UCUAGAACAUGUGUUGUGCAACCAAUGCACUUCCAAAGCCCUUGCUUUAGUGGGACUUUGCCAUAGGCUAUCCUGACACUCUAAUUUCCCCCUGUCCAUAAACUUGGUGACCUACUGCAUCAAUCUGUGUGCCUAGCACUGACAGGGCCAAAGCUCUGUAGUGCACGGCAUACAAGUGGGAACAUGGCUCUCCAGGUCCCACCACCUUGGAGGAACAUUGCUGGGACUCAAGGCGUACAUAUGCCCUGAGCCUGACUGCUGAUCUGCAAGUAAACCCCUACCAACUGGUCGGGGUUUGAAACGGGUCUUCGAGAAGACCUCAAGUAAACCCCUACCAACUGGUCGGGGUUUGAAACUUUUUUGAAUUC
rnacentral:sgRNA from 1 species